GGAAUGGCAAAUGAUGGUUAAUGCAGUGACAUUAUUUUUAUAGGUAUAUUAUUUUGAUAUAUUGAUUCUUACAUUCUUAUCAUAAAUAAUGUAAGUAGUCAUUUUUGCGCCAUAACCAGUAUAACCUAAAUCUUGCAAAAGAGAUAAAUUUUCGCUAGAUUUUUGGGCUUCAAACAUACAGUUGCUUUCGGUGACGCCACAAGUAUAAUUAUAUUAGAAAUCUUUUAUCUCACUACUAGGUGAAUUGAUUGUUGAUCUGUGUAUUGAUAUAUCAUCCAACAUUUACCUCAUGAUUGAACGCAAUGCCUAAUCCAAGGAAUAAAUACUAGAACUCACUGUUUCUUUAUCAACACAUGAUUUUGUCUUUGAAGUGAACUUAUAUAUUGAUUUUUGAGAAAUAGUUAAUUUAUUAUAAAGGUAAUUCACAAAAUGUUCUCAACAUCGAAUUCCUUGAAUCACGUAGAUGUGUUUUCAUACCCCGAUAUUCAAAAUCGGUUUAGUUUUGCCCCUAAAACACCAGUAAAGCAAUACUCUGUAUGAAACAAUCUCAUUUUUAGUUAGGGGAAAUUGGUAAGCGUGGACUAAAAAUACAAAAUGUUCAAUAUCUCCGCUGCUCGUGCACGGAUUUAGACAAUCUAUAGCUUGUUAGAAAGGUAUUUUUACAAGCUUUCUAUUUAUAUGCAGUUUGUGGGACGAAACUGUAUUGUUUGAAAGUUAUUUGCAAAAAACCUGCCGUGUUUUGACAAAAUCGCCCAUAUCUCAGAAAGUAAACAACAUAUCGAAAAUCAAAAAUAAUAGUGUCAAAUGGCAACGUUAGGCCUUUCAUUUGAAACUAAUUUCAUUAAGAUCGGUUCAGCCAUUGCUGAGAUAAUUACAUGACAUUUUGUACAUACAUACAUACACACAUACACACACACACACAUACAGACAUUGUCUCAAUUUGUCGAGCUGAGUCGAUUGGUAUAUGAGACUCGGCCCUCCGGGCCUCGGAAAAAGUUUUCAAAGUUUGAGCGAAUCCUAUACAUUUCUUUUGUAAGAAAUGUAAAAACAUAUUAAAAUGGGUGCAACAUUACUCUACAUUGCGGGUCUGAAUCACUAAUGAUCAAUCAAAGCAGCUUUGACAACAUUGGCCACCUAUUACUGUUCGCGAUGCCUCCGGGGAACUCUCCAAGCUCCUAAGCUAAUAUCACACCUAUUCUCCAGCGAAUUUUCUACCGAUUUUUACAAACUUGAUUUCAAAUGAAAGUUACAGUAAUAGGGGAAUUUGGUCGGUUGUCGGCACCCUUUUGCCUUCGGCUUAUAACAUUUCUCCAAUUGCAUAAUAUAGGGACAUAAGCAUACCAAUAAAAAGCUAGAGGUCUUAGCUAAUAACGGGUGAAGGAAUUUAAUUUAUGCCGUCAAUAUUAAAAAUGUUGACAAUUUAGUGAAAUGAUCAUGUAUUGUCGUUUAGAAAAAUGUGGUCGCUUGUCGGCACCAUAACAAAAUUUAGUAAAAAUGGCAGAAUAUGAAUAAAAAUUCAAAGAGAAAAUAAAAUUUACUUUUAACAUCAUUCCUUACCAGAUGCACAAUGUGUGUAUGCGAAUUGUGAAAUUCAUGCUGCAAAGUUGGCACUCAUAGCUAUAUCAGUAUCAGAGUCCGCUGCUAGAUGGCAUUAACUGGCAUAGCGUGCUGCAUGGUCAGCGCGGCAAGCAGAAAGUUAUCAAAAGUUGAACAAAGCGAAAUUGAUGCUGGCAGAGUUUCUGCGAGCAUUUUUGCACGAUUUGUGCGAGAAUUCUGGCAACGAAUUCGCUCAAAUGCAACAACCGUUUCUGACAGAAGCGGUUAAACCAACCGAUGCUGCUCACUUUUAUCCAGAAUCGAGCCAGAAAUGUACGGCCAAGAUCUCUGCACGCUUCCUGCCACAUCUUUGUCAGAUGUUUUGCUCGAUUCGUGCUAAAUUCUACCAGGUAGGAAUUGUCAGGAUCUUCGCACAGUUUAUGUCCGAGUUAUGCCAGGGUUUAGCUCGGUUCCUGUCAAAAUUUGCCAGAAAACGCGAGCGAAACCGAGUUCUCCCUGGCUCAACUAACCCGACAGGAUACGCGCAGAAAUCUGACAGGGCUGCCAAACCAAGACUUACAGAAAUGUAGCGGUCUCUGCCAGAAAAUUUGCUUACUGGGUGUUAAUACCGCCAUGACCUUACUGGUUCCCAGUUAAACUCAUUCCGGAACCGGUUCGGAUUUCUGAAUGGAGUCAUUAUGGAUUCCAAAUCAAAUGCAACAACCGAUUCGGACUCAGCAUCGGUUGUUGCAUCUGAUUUGGAAUCCAUACUGACUCCAUUCAGGAUUCCAAAUCAAAUUCCGAAUGGUUUGACCGGGUUCUUGCUACAAUGUACACACAGAAAAAAAAUUAGUUAAAAUAAACAAAUUUUGGUUUUAAAUAACAUUUUUCCCGUUUGAUAUAGUGACAAACAAGAUUCAGGAUUGAUUCAAUCAAUACUGUUGGUUGAAAUUACCAACUAAUUCAUUUGUUGGCUUUUCAGUAGUUUCAACAAAUAUUUCGUUUGAAACAACAAAAUCAUGAUAAGUUUAACCGAACAAACAAGUCUCGACAAACAUGUCAAAGUGCAAAUGAGAGCCUCUCUUUGUUUACUUUCUCUUUCGAUUAUUACGGCGUCAGCAUAAAACUUUUCAAUAUUGUUUCAGGAUAUAUCGAAAAACACUGAUUUUGACUAGCAUAUAAUGCUAAGAGUUAAUAAACAAACGUAUAAACGGACGAGUUAUUAGCGAAAGAGAAAGUAAACAAAGAGAAACUGUCGUUUUCACUUAGGACCAUUUGACAUGUUUGGCUAGAAGUUUGAAGAAACAAAAACAAAUCUUUUGUAUCAACCAAAGGAGAGAACAACUCAAAUUUAGUUGAAAUUAAACAAAGAUUCUGUUGCUUUUUAACAAAAGGAUCAGUUAGAUCUAACAAAUUUUAUUUUUAUUCAACAAUGUUUCUAUUUAAAAUGUAAACAGAAGUAUUUGUUGAACUAAACCAAAUACAUGCUUUCGAAAAACGCCCAUUUCAGUUUGAAACAGUCACUCGCCACGUUUUUGAUUCAACUAAACGUUUUGUUGAUUCAAAAAGGACUGAUUUUUCUGCAUAUAGAUUCUUUCAGCCUCAUAGUUUCACAGUCUUUCUUUUACAUUUUUACUAUCUUCACAAGUUGCUCCAUAGUUCACCACACCUGUAAUGCUUAUGAACCGGAAAUUGCUUCAGAUACCGUUCUAAUUACGCGAGUUUGUUUUAUUGAAAGAAACUCAUUUCAAGAAAUACAACGCUUGGGGAAAACAUUCAACCAGCUACAAACUUUGCGUUGUGCCUUGUUUGCUGACUUCCCUGUUUACGCUCCGGACCGAACACAGCGGAAAUUAGAAAUUAAAGCUUCGCGUGCACCAUCAAGUACCUACUCGAGCAAUUUUCGCUAAGUACCAUCUCUUGACAGUACUGUUUUUUUUUUUUUUUUAUUUUCGUCCUCCACUUCUUGAUCCGAGUUCUUUCCGCCGCGCUGCGAACACGAUUCUGCUGGUAAUAUUUUCAAUCUAAUUAAUUCUUAUUUUAAACUUCUCCCGGACUUCCGGCCCCACUGCGCCGCUCCGGAGGGCUCCUCCCGGCGGUAAGCUACACUGACAAACUUCGGGAAGAACGGAAAACAUCCGGAAUGGGGACAGCCUUGACGGUAAAAUUAAAAUCUGUGGCGGCACACUUUCACACAAGCGGGGCCAGGUAUGGCGAAAACCCGGCGAGGUCACGGUCGGUAGGUGUGACUGUCGGAGCGUGCUCGCGGUAGAAUAAUAAUGAAUUUAGGGUACUGACUUUUUAGCCUGUUUCAACCCGAUAGCUUUAAGUUAGUCCCCUUUUCUCGACUAAUCAGCCAAGCAAAGAUUGACACCGGGUUGCCGAGAAUUUCCAUAAAGCGGGUAAUCCUCUUUGUUUUUUUGUUUUCUAGCUUUGGUUGCUUAGAUCCUGGACUUAUUAACGUACGCUAUUAACUUGUCAGUUGACUGUCAGAGUGUAACCUUUGCUGUGGAACCGGAAGCAUUCCUUUAGUGAUGGACAGGCAGGUGGUUGGAUUGCUGUUAUCCUUUGCCUACGGUGUCGUGAAGAGUACCGCUGGAAAGAGUCUUGUGUCGGAGCAGGAGUGCGAAUUCGGGAGGACGAAGGAACGAGCAGGUUCUGAAUAAUAAAUGCCUAAACCGGUUAGCAUUUCAACCAGGCACCCGACACGCAAUCCAAUUCUUUUCGCUAGGAUCGAUUUCACGACCUUUAUUACACCGGCGGAAUGCGGCAUAUUUUCACAGGGCUCGGUGAGCUUCGCUAUUCGAAGAGGAAUCCGGCGCUUCCCGGAAUCAUCACAAUAAAUAAACAGUACCAUCAAAAGACGGUGCUUCUUUUAUACCGUGUGAUCGUUUGAAUGAAGGAAAAAUCCUGCUACGGAGAAGCAAAGUAUACAAAGUACAAUAAACGGCGCAGGAUUACGCACAGAACAAAGAGCAGUCGGGCUGGCAGGCAGUAAGCUUUCGUGUCUGCUCAAUCAUCAUCAUAAUCAUCAUCAUCAUCAACAUUAUCAUCACGCCGUAAGAUGUCGAACGCCCGCUUACUGCAAAGUAAAAAAGAACGUUACGGCCCUACAACAGCCAACAGAACCGGAAGCAAGAUAAGAGAGAUAAUAGUGGCUGUCUUUGUGAAGGCAGAAAGUGCAAAACGAAUCCUGGUGGCUGUACAAACAAAAGUGAAUGCGUGCCACGGUGCCUUCCUAAUGAUAGCGAUCGUGAGGAUAAAUUUUCCAAUUGAGCAAAAGAAAGUUUUAUUUUUUACAGCUACGCAAGAGCUUUGGUAGUGAAGAAGAGCGCCGCACAGUGGAACAGAAUACUGCUUUCGACGACUAAAACUUAUAGUGCUCUGUUUUUUUUAUCCUGGAGAUUUGGUGUUUUUGGCAAAGUAUCUUGGGUUGUAAAGUACAAUUUUGAAUAUAUUGGAUUUGAUCUAGAUCAGCGAUUCUCAACCUGGGGUCUGCGAGCACCUAGGGGGGCGUGAAGUAGUUGCUGAGGAUUCCUGAUGCAUAUAGAAAUAUCAAAUUUUGUUCUUUGGGACUAUUCGUAAAUUCUGUAACACUUUUAGGGAGGGAGGGGUACGACAAAGGCUAAACUUGUGUUUACUGAAGAAAACUUAUUAAAGAAAUAAACCCGUACAAGGGGAGGGGGAUUACAAAAAUUGAUUUCAAAGGGGUCUGUGGUUCACAAAAAGCUGAGCUGACGCGGCGAGCUUCUGCGCUAGAUUGUUUAUAAAAUCACAAUUUUGUAUUUAUUUGACAUUCGAACCAUUUUGUUGUUGUUGAGUAAAUAUAUGUUUACUGGUUAAUGACCGUCAGGUUAAAACCUCAAAUAAAACAAUUACAAUUAAAUAUAUGUUUCAAAACAACACAAAAGAUAAACUGUUUCUCUUGUUAUUUUAAUGUUCAAAAAAUUCCUUAAAGAUACCUUUUUUAUGAGCCACUGAUGAGGAUGUCCUUGGUUUUUUGACUAUCCAACAACGUUCUUGGAUUCAGGAAAGCAUUUUCAAAAAAUUCUAAGAUAUUCAGGAUUAAAACGUACACGAUGAAUAGUACAAUCGAUAGCAUACUUUUCUAUCUGCCUCUCGUUUCUCCUGCUAUAAAUUUUGUGCAUUGGACAUAUUCGGUCUAUCUACUCAUUGAAUGCUUAUUAGAACAAUAUGCUAGAAAAUGCAUAAAAAUCACAACAGAAUGAAAGAGACGGGUAUAAAACGUAUGCUAACUAUGAAUUUUUUUUUCUCAGUGUAGGUGUUUCUUGUACAUCUGCAGUAUUGUCAGAAGCAAUAACUAUCAGCAAUUAAUUCAACUACACCCAAAACAAAAUCUCGGGAGCCUUAAUCCAUAUGUUUUUUUUCUGCUCACUGUACUAGAGCCAAAAGCUCUAAAAUCGUUCAACCAACCUCAUACUUGAAUAAUACAACAUCGAACCCCAUAUAGGUACUUUUCUACGGCUCAUACACGUACACGUCACAUGACACAAACACUACAUCACUAGCGGGUGGAUAUUAAUAAAUAAAGACGGCAAAAGCAAAUGGGAUUGUUUUUUCAACCAAAAAACUGCAUUAGUGUUCGUGAGACAAUUGCUAUACGUCCUUGGCUAUCCAGUGCAGAGAUAACUUGAAUAACACAUACCAGUGUGUGCAUGACGAUCCACUUGUGAUCGAUGCUGCAAUGAUGAGAAGUGUAUAUAGCUCAGUCGUUAUGGCCUAGGGCCGGAA